AAGAGGUUAAUCUAAAAACAAGACUAUUGAUUUCGACUCAAUAAACUGUGUUUAAUAACACAACCUCUUC
rnacentral:tRNA from 1 species